UAGAAAGAGAGGGAAAGACUGCGGGUGGAAGAAUAGAGAUGGCGGAGCCAGAGGUGGAGGUUCAUACAAAUUGGAAAAGUACUAUGUAUUCCAUGAAGAAAAAGUACAAGAAAAAUCCAGCAUGACACAAUACUUUUAUUCAGUUUGGUUGUAUACUCUGCUCAUAGUAGGAACUUCACAAACUGCUACCUUGUGUUACAAUCCUCAAAAGUUUGUCUAUUACCACAACCAACCGUGAUUAAGGUUUUUGUUGUUUGCAUAUAGUUUAUAAGCUUGUCAAUACUAGAUAUCAAUCAUGACAGAGGGAUGUUAGAAGUGCUCUAAAAUGUUGCUCAGUAGGAGUGAGAUGGGCCUUUGAGAAUGUUGCACGAAGAUGUUGAAAAUUAAGCAUCAUAAUUUGGCCUUCCUCCAAAAAAGAUCUCUGCUAGUCGAGCAUUUUAUUCUGAAAUCAACAUCAACACCUGCACUUCAGAAACAUGAUUUCUCUACUAAUUAGUGCUGUAUCACUGCACAGUGCUUCGGAGUCUAUCACAUGCAAUCGACCCUGCAAGGUACAUCCUCAUUACAAAUUUCUCGAGUUAUUUGAAUCUUUAAGCUGAUGCUUGAUGCUAAUUUAUAAGUUGAAAUCAAGAUGGUUUAGCCUUGUGAAAGCUAUCGUGUUCUCAGCUUAGGAUGCAUAUAUUCUAAUCUAUUAUCCUCCUGUCACGUAGUAAACCAUCCAUGAUAUUGCUAGAUAACGGUAGAGGGCACAG